UAGAUUCGAGUCCGGGUCGGAGAUAAAAUCUAGACUCUGACCGGAAAUCGAACCUACA
rnacentral:pre_miRNA from 1 species